CAGACUUGAUUUUCCAAUGGAAAGCUGCCAUAACCUCUGUCUGUACCUGUGGACUUGAUGUGGGGAAAAUAACCUGCUAGCAAAAGGCAGUAAUUGCUUUUUCCACACAGCUUGUGGGGCCUUUCGAUACUGGGUCAAAAAAAUCUGCUCCCCUCAUGUGUUUAGUUAGAAAUACCAAGACAAAAUGCUGUUUAUACAUAAAGCAUUAAUAAGUGAGGGGUAAGAGCGGGAGUGCUCCCUCAGGAAGGGCAAGGCGACCUCUGAGGGAAAGCAGGGGUGUCCACCUCAGCUGCCAUGGCCAUUCCCCACAGCGGGCAGGGGAGGAAAGCAGAUUUCACCAGCCAUCGGGGGUCCCUGGGGAUGCAAUGUGGCCAAAAGCAGUGCCAAGGGCAGCACCCAGUCAGAGACAUCACAAGGACCAUGACCCAGGCCCUCAGAAGCAGGAUAGACCCUGUCCCCAUCCAGGGACAUCACAAGGACCAUGAGCCAGGCCCUCAGAAACAGGAUGGGCCCUGUCCCCAGCCAGGGACAUCACAAGGACCAUGACCCAGGCCCUCAGAAACAGGAUGGGCCCUGUCCCCAGCCAGGGACAUCACAAGGACCAUGACCCAGGCCCUCAGAAGCAGGAUAGACCCUGUCCCCAGCCAGGGACAUCACAAGGACCAUGACCCAGGCCCUCAGAAGAAGGUGCCUUAAGUACCUUGAUUGCUUCCACAUGAGGUGCUAGCUUUGUUCUCCCAAAACAGAUGCAUGGCCCCAAACACAAGCCUUCCUGCAAAGCCAGUGAAGAACUAAUUACAGCUGACUCUGUUCAUUGCUGUUCAGUGUGAUUGGGCAUAAGAAGUAACCUCUGUGGGCAUCACUGAAGCCUGUACAUGUGAGCAUGCUGAAACUGGGUGACUUCUGUCACUCUGCAUGUAUCACAUAUUGUACUACUUCCUCAAACCAAACUCAAUGGCUGUGGAGCAGAAAGAAUUAGAAACUCCAUUGUGGACACUUUCCUGGAAUUUGCUGGAUUGAAAGCCCUUGUGUAUUGACAGACUUUGCCUGAAAUACAUCUUGUCAAGAGGAAGGAUUUCACUGUGGUUCUAACUGUGAAGUGAUUUCCAGAUGACUUAUCCAGAAGCUCUGGGCUUUUCAGCUCCAUGUAGAGGAGGUCUGUGUGCAAAGGAAAGGAAAAAAAAAAAUGGCCAUUUUUGAUAAGGUUUGACAAAGCUGUUCUGAAACAUUAGUUCAGAACUUGAUGCCAUAUACAUCCAUAUCUAUCCCCAACUGUGUCCUCUGAAAUAACAUCAACAUGAUGGCUGGGGUUGUCCAAUGCAGUUUUAAAGAAAUCACUUUUUACAGUGCUGGGUUAACAGUGAUAUAUGAAAGCUGUAAAAAGUGUGAGAAACCAAGGUAAAAUAGCAUCGUAGAAAUAUCUGUGGUGCAACAAACAGAUCAUGCCCCUUGACUGAGCGACCUCAGUCAGAUAUUGUUCAUUAUUUACUGAUAAUGCCAGUUGCUGAUAUGUCUGAAGGAAGAGUUUGGAAAGUGCAUCUCUUUGGUGGGAAUUGUGGCAGAAUUUCUAGAGGAUACCUAAAACCCCUCAAAUAAUUGAGUUGUUCAGACUUUUUCCUAUCUGCUAUGUGAUAGUAAGCUACAGAUCAUUGCUUGGCAUUAUUUUGUUCCAUCUUAAACUAUUCUAAAUCAUUGCACAUUGUUAGUUUUCCUCUUAAAUAUUUUCUUGUAUCUCUAUAGAUAUAGAUGAAGACAGAUAAUAAUUUGUAAUCUAUUUAUCUUGGUAUCUUGUCUGCAUAUUAACAAGGUAAUCUUCAGUUGUCCUUACUUUAAUUUAGUCUUACUUGUUUGGCUCUGUUCCUUCAGAAAUGCAUCUCUCGAUAUUGCAUUCGAAUGUGAGAAUGAUGAAUGGUUUUGAUGCCAGGUGACUUGCAAUCUCUUAGUUAGAAUACCCUGUUCUGGGUAGUCAGAAAACAGGGUGGCAAUGACCAAGUAAAGUGGCCAGGAUGAGAUGACAGUAGCGUGACAGUAGAGGGUCCCCAUGUUGUGGAAUCUCUUGGCACUGACAGCUGGAUGAAAAUAUCAUAACUGCUUGUCACUUCUGCAGACUCUCCUGUGGUGACUUCUUCAAUUCAUAACUUUCUCAGGGUUCUCCUCUCCUUAAGUAUCUGUUUAAACUAAUUUUCUAGCUCCAGCUUGUACUUAUGUGAUCUGGAUUUUAGAUUUAGAGAUUUUGAGUAUGUACAAUGAUUUGAUUUCUAAUGCUGGGCUUGCAAAGUGUCUAUGAUUACUUAUGUUUUUAUAAUUAUUCUAUAACUCCCAAACAUAUAUUUAGACUAUACUUCAGAGUACACUGACAGUUUUAUAUCCAUGCAUUUAAGCUAAACAGAUGCUUUCCUUUCUAGUACUUGAGGCUGUAAUGAAAAGAACAAGUUCACAAAUGGGAGUAGAGCUUCUUUUUCUGCACUGUCAGAGUCCUCAUGCAGACCUAGGGAUGGUGCACGGACCAGAAGACAGGGAUCUAUUGAGGCGUUUCUGAGAUUCCUCCCUGGUUACACAUGACUGAAAGGACUCCCACCCACCUGUUCAUGACUUUUAAUAUCUCCACAUGAAUCCUUCACCACUGUGGUGAUGGAGGGUGCAGCCUUAGGGAAGGAAAUAAAAAUCAAAGAUUUGGGGAUAUGUGGUGCAUCUCCCUCUCCAACGUUCUUUUUCUGUUCUUUGCUGUCCCUUUGGUUUUAGCCAUUUUCUCUCACUUUUUCCCAAUAUUUUAACCUCCUCUCCAAAGACAGGAAUGGAAGCUUUAUCAUUCUCAGAGGAGAAAGUGAACUAAUGAGUCAUUAAAAGAAAAAUGUGCUUUCUGCCAGACUUCAGGUGCAGUUGUCUCCCACAGAUGGCUCUCAAAGUAAAUUGUUCUUAAUUCUGGAAGACAGAUGGCUUUCUGAAUCAUCCAAAAGAAAUCUUAUAUCUGGAAUUAUUUUUAAUUCUUCCUAGGUCUUUAGUUUUUCAUCCCCUGCCAGUGAAAACAUUUAGGAUAAUGAUUAUUGUUAUAAUGUCAUACAAAACUAAGUAGGCCUAUGCUCUCAUUAUGUCUUUCAGAAUGGAGAGGGAAAAGUCAAAGAAAUGAGCUUCCCCCUUGAUGAGUUUCCUUUCAUGUUACUGUUUUGUGUAUCAGCUAUACUUGAUACCUCAUUCUAGCAUCAAAUUCUGUCUCAUAUCAAUAUGGUGCUGUACAAUCUGCCAGUUCAGAUAAUUGAUCCAGGUCUGUCAAGGAGUAUUCUCUUCAAAUAUGUUGUUUAAAUGCUACACCGACAGAAUAAAGUUCUCUUGGCUUUGUAAA